UCGGAGUGCUUGCACUCUGUGAAACAAGAUACAGGCUAGCGGCGGACGGGUGAGUAACACGUGGGUAACCUGCCCAAGAGAUCGGGAUAACACCUGGAAACAGAUGCUAAUACCGGAUAACAACAGAUGAUGCCUAUCAACUGUUUAAAAGAUGGUUCUGCUAUCACUCUUGGAUGGACCUGCGGUGCAUUAGCUAGUUGGUAGGGUAACGGCCUACCAAGGCGAUGAUGCAUAGCCGAGUUGAGAGACUGAUCGGCCACAUUGGGACUGAGACACGGCCCAAACUCCUACGGGAGGCAGCAGUAGGGAAUCUUCCACAAUGGACGCAAGUCUGAUGGAGCAACGCCGCGUGAGUGAAGAAGGGUUUCGGCUCGUAAAGCUCUGUUGUUGGUGAAGAAGGACAGGGGUAGUAACUGACCUUUGUUUGACGGUAAUCAAUUAGAAAGUCACGGCUAACUACGUGCCAGCAGCCGCGGUAAUACGUAGGUGGCAAGCGUUGUCCGGAUUUAUUGGGCGUAAAGCGAGUGCAGGCGGCUCGAUAAGUCUGAUGUGAAAGCCUUCGGCCCAACCGGAGAAUUGCAUCAGAAACUGUCGAGCUUGAGUACAGAAGAGGAGAGUGGAACUCCAUGUGUAGCGGUGAAAUGCGUAGAUAUAUGGAAGAACACCGGUGGCGAAGGCGGCUCUCUGGUCUGUUACUGACGC
rnacentral:rRNA from 1 species